UACGUAGGGCGCAAGCGUUUGUCCGGAAUUAUUGGGCGUAAAGAGCUCGUAGGCGGCCUGUUGCGUCCGCUGUGAAAUCCCGGGGCUCAACCCCCGGGCGUGCAGUGGAUACGGGCUGGCUGGAGGCAGGCAGGGGAGAACGGAAUUCCCGGUGUGAGCGGUGAAAUGCGUAGAUAUCGGGAGGAACACCUGUGGCGAAAGCGGACGCACUGGACCACAACUGACGCUGAGGCGACGAAAGCUAGGGGAGCAAACAGG
rnacentral:rRNA from 1 species